rnacentral:misc_RNA from 1 species
AACGCACCUUGCGCUCCCUGGUAUUCCGGGGAGCAUGCCUGUUUGAGUAUCAUGAAAUUCUCAAUCUUCAAUGCUUUUUUUUGUAUUGAAGACUUGGACUUGGAGGUUUGUGCUGGCUCUCGUUAGUCGGCUCCUCUUAAAUGUAUUAGCAUCAAUAUUUUAUGGAUCGCUUCGGUGUGAUAAUUAUCUGCGCCGUUGUCGUGAAGUAUCUUAAUAUAUAUGUUGGCGCUUCUAAUCGUUCCUUCAAGGGACAAUUACUUUGACUUUUGAUCUCAAAUCAGGUAGGACUACCCGCUGAACUUAA